UGAGCAUGUGGUUAAUUCGAAACAACGCGAAGAACCUUACCAGGUCUUGACAUCCCUGACAACCCGAGAGAUCGGGCGUUCCCCUUCGGGGGGACAGGGUGACAGGUGGUGCAUGGUUGUCGUCAGCUCGUGUCGUGAGAUGUUGGGUUAAGUCCCGCAACGAGCGCAACCCUCGACCUUAGUUGCCAGCAUUCAGUUGGGCACUCUAAGGUGACUGCCGGCUAAAAGUCGGAGGAAGGUGGGGAUGACGUCAAAUCAUCAUGCCCCUUAUGACCUGGGCUACACACGUGCUACAAUGGUUGGUACAACGAGUUGCGAGUCGGUGACGGCGAGCUAAUCUCUUAAAGCCAAUCUCAGUUCGGAUUGUAGGCUGCAACUCGCCUACAUGAAGUCGGAAUCGCUAGUAAUCGCGGAUCAGCACGCCGCGGUGAAUACGUUCCCGGGCCUU
rnacentral:rRNA from 1 species